UACGUAGGGUGCAAGCGUUAAUCGGAAUUACUGGGCGUAAAGCGUGCGCAGGCGGCUUUGCAAGACAGAUGUGAAAUCCCCGGGCUCAACCUGGGAACUGCAUUUGUGACUGCAUGGCUAGAGUACGGUAGAGGGGGAUGGAAUUCCGCGUGUAGCAGUGAAAUGCGUAGAUAUGUGGAGGAACACCAAUGGCGAAGGCAGCCCCCUGGGAUAACACUGACGCUCAUGUACGAAAGCGUGGGUAGCAAACAGG
rnacentral:rRNA from 1 species